rnacentral:rRNA from 1 species
GACGAACGCUGGCGGCGUGCUUAACACAUGCAAGUCGAACGGAAAGGCCCUGCUUUUGUGGGGUGCUCGAGUGGCGAACGGGUGAGUAACAAGUGAGUAACCUGCCCUUGACUUUGGGAUAACUUCAGGAAACUGGGGCUAAUACCGGAUAGUAGCUCCUGCUGAAUGGUGGGGGUUGGAAAGUUUCGGCGGUUGGGGAUGGACUCGCGGCUUAUCAGCUUGUUGGUGGGGUAGUGGCUUACCAAGGCUUGGACGGGUAGCCGGCCUGAGAGGGUGACCGGCCACAUUGGGACUGAGGUACGGCCCAGACUCCUACGGGAGGCAGCAGUGGGGAAUAUUGCACAAUGGGCGGAAGCCUGAUGCAGCAGCGCCGCGUGCGGGAUGACGGCCUUCGGGUGGUAAACCGCUUUCGCCUGUGACGAAGCGUGAGUGACGGUAAUGGGUAAAGAAGCACCGGCUAACUACGUG